rnacentral:rRNA from 1 species
CUUGCUCAGAGACGAUCUUAGCGGCGGACGGGUGAGUAACGCGUGAGCAACCUGCCUUACACAGGGGGAUAACGCAGCGAAAGUUGUGCUAAUACCGCAUGAGACCACAACGGGACAUCCCGAAGGGGUCAAAGGAGAGAUCCGGUGUAAGAUGGGCUCGCGUCUGAUUAGCUGGUUGGUGAGGUAACGGCCCACCAAGGCGACGAUCAGUAGCCGACCUGAGAGGGUGAUCGGCCACAUUGGAACUGAGAGACGGUCCAAACUCCUACGGGAGGCAGCAGUGGGGAAUAUUGGGCAA